rnacentral:rRNA from 1 species
GUCUACGGCCAUACCACCCUGAACGCGCCCGAUCUCGUCUGAUCUCGGAAGCUAAGCAGGGUCGGGCCUGGUUAGUACUUGGAUGGGAGGAUCCAGGAGACCUCGUACACU